rnacentral:rRNA from 1 species
CGACUAAGCCAUGCGAGUCAUGGCGCGCCUCGCGCGCAGCGGCGGACGGCUCAGUAACACGUCGGUAACCUACCCUCGGGAGGAGCAUAACCCCGGGAAACUGGGGCUAAACCCCCAAAGGUCUGAGGUACUGGAAGGUCCUCAGGCCGAUAGGGACUCUGUCCGCCCGAGGAUGCGCCGGCGCCCGAUUAGGUAGUUGGUGGGCUAACGGCCCACCAAGCCUAAGAACGGUACGGGCCAUGAGAGUUGGAGGCCGGAUAUGGACACUGAGACAAGGGUCCAGGCCCUACGGGCCGCAGCAGCCGCGAAACCUCCGCAAUGCGGCAAUCCGCGACGGCGGCACCCCCAGUGCCGUGGCAAUGCCACGGCUUUACCGGAGUGUAAGGAGCUCCGGGAAUAAUGGCUGGGCAAGGCCGGUCGCAGCCCGCGCGGUAAUACCGGCGGCCGGAGUGGUGGCCACUAUUAUUGGCCCUAAAGCGUCCGGAGCCCGGCCGGUAAGUCCCUGGCGAAAUCUCACGGCUCAACCGUGGGACUCGCUGGGGAUACUGCGGGCCUCGGGACCGGGAGAGGCGGAAGGUACCCCUGGGGUAGGCGUGAAAUCCUAUAAUCCCAGGGUGACCGCCAGUGGCCAAGGCGCUCCGCUGGAACGGGUCCGACGGUGAGAGACGAAGGCCAGGGCAGCAAACCGGAUUAGAUACCCGGGUAGUCCUGGCUGUAAGGAAUGCGGCCUAGGUGUCGGCUGAGGUUCGGGCUCGCCCGGUGCCGGAGCGAAGCCGUUAAGGCCGCCGCCUCGGGAGUACGGCCGCAAGGCUGAAACUUCAAGGAAUUGGCGGGGGAGCACCACAAGGGUUGGAGCGUGCGGUUUAAUUGGAUUCAACGCCCGGAACCUCACCNNGGGCGACGGCAGGAUGAAG